ACUGAGGGUAGCGGAGAAAUUCCAAUCGAACCUGGAGAUAGCUGGUUCUCUCCGAAAUAGCUUUAGGGCUAGCCUCAAGUGAUGAUUAUUGGAGGUAGAGCACUGUUUGGACGAGGGGCCCCUCUCGGGUUACCGAAUUCAGACAAACUCCGAAUGCCAAUUAAUUUAACUUGGGAGUCAGAACAUGGGUGAUAAGGUCCGUGUUCGAAAGGGAAACAGCCCAGACCACCAGCUAAGGUCCCAAAAUAUAUGUUAAGUGGAAAAGGAUGUGGCGUUGCCCAGACAACUAGGAUGUUGGCUUAGAAGCAGCCAUCAUUUAAAGAGUGCGUAAUAGCUCACUAGUCGAGUGACACUGCGCCGAAAAUGUACCGGGGCUAAACAUAUUACCGAAGCUGUGGAUUGUCCUUUGGACAAUGGUAGGAGAGCGUUCUAAGGGCGUUGAAGCAUGAUCGUAAGGACAUGUGGAGCGCUUAGAAGUGAGAAUGCCGGUGUGAGUAGCGAAAGACGGGUGAGAAUCCCGUCCACCGAUUGACUAAGGUUUCCAGAGGAAGGCUCGUCCGCUCUGGGUUAGUCGGGUCCUAAGCUGAGGCCGACAGGCGUAGGCGAUGGAUAACAGGUUGAUAUUCCUGUACCACCUAUAAUCGUUUUAAUCGAUGGGGGGACGCAGUAGGAUAGGCGAAGCGUGCGAUUGGAUUGCACGUCUAAGCAGUAAGGCUGAGUAUUAGGCAAAUCCGGUACUCGUUAAGGCUGAGCUGUGAUGGGGAGAAGACAUUGUGUCUUCGAGUCGUUGAUUUCACACUGCCGAGAAAAGCCUCUAGAUAGAAAAUAGGUGCCCGUACCGCAAACCGACACAGGUAGUCAAGAUGAGAAUUCUAAGGUGAGCGAGCGAACUCUCGUUAAGGAACUCGGCAAAAUGACCCCGUAACUUCGGGAGAAGGGGUGCUCUUUAGGGUUAACGCCCAGAAGAGCCGCAGUGAAUAGGCCCAAGCGACUGUUUAUCAAAAACACAGGUCUCUGCUAAACCGUAAGGUGAUGUAUAGGGGCUGACGCCUGCCCGGUGCUGGAAGGUUAAGAGGAGUGGUUAGCUUCUGCGAAGCUACGAAUCGAAGCCCCAGUAAACGGCGGCCGUAACUAUAACGGUCCUAAGGUAGCGAAAUUCCUUGUCGGGUAAGUUCCGACCCGCACGAAAGGCGUAACGAUUUGGGCACUGUCUCAACGAGAGACUCGGUGAAAUCAUAGUACCUGUGAAGAUGCAGGUUACCCGCGACAGGACGGAAAGACCCCGUGGAGCUUUACUGUAGCCUGAUAUUGAAAUUCGGCACAGCUUGUACAGGAUAGGUAGGAGCCUUUGAAACGUGAGCGCUAGCUUACGUGGAGGCGCUGGUGGGAUACUACCCUAGCUGUGUUGGCUUUCUAACCCGCACCACUUAUCGUGGUGGGAGACAGUGUCAGGCGGGCAGUUUGACUGGGGCGGUCGCCUCCUAAAAGGUAACGGAGGCGCUCAAAGGUUCCCUCAGAAUGGUUGGAAAUCAUUCAUAGAGUGUAAAGGCAUAAGGGAGCUUGACUGCGAGACCUACAAGUCGAGCAGGGUCGAAAGACGGACUUAGUGAUCCGGUGGUUCCGCAUGGAAGGGCCAUCGCUCAACGGAUAAAAGCUACCCCGGGGAUAACAGGCUUAUCUCCCCCAAGAGUUCACAUCGACGGGGAGGUUUGGCACCUCGAUGUCGGCUCAUCGCAUCCUGGGGCUGUAGUCGGUCCCAAGGGUUGGGCUGUUCGCCCAUUAAAGCGGUACGCGAGCUGGGUUCAGAACGUCGUGAGACAGUUCGGUCCCUAUCCGUCGUGGGCGUAGGAAAUUUGAGAGGAGCUGUCCUUAGUACGAGAGGACCGGGAUGGACAUACCUCUGGUGUACCAGUUGUCGUGCCAACGGCAUAGCUGGGUAGCUAUGUGUGGACGGGAUAAGUGCUGAAAGCAUCUAAGCAUGAAGCCCCCCUCAAGAUGAGAUUUCCCAACUUCGGUUAUAAGAUCCCUCAAAGAUGAUGAGGUUAAUAGGUUCGAGGUGGAAGCAUGGUGACAUGUGGAGCUGACGAAUACUAAUCGAUCGAAGACUUAAUCAA
rnacentral:rRNA from 1 species